GUUCAUCCUUGAAUUAUUCACUUAGCAUAAUGUCUUCAUGUUUCAUCCACAUUGUAGUUCAUGUGCCAAGAUGGAAAUCAUAGGACAAAAUACCUAUGUGAGAAGAAAUCAUCUGAGAUGCACUUAAUCUUCAAGCAUCCUUGAUGCUGUUUUGAGUGGGCCCCAUCCAGUCAGUUGAAGUCCUUAAGAGAAAAGACUGAAGUCUUCUGAAGAUGAUAGGAUAAAGCUUUCAGAUACAAGGGUGAAAAAUUAAGCCAUGAGUUUCUAUUAGCUGAAGAGCACAAUUGGUUUGCAUGACUAGAUGGCCAAUACCAGGUCAGAUGAGGGCACUGAUGAAAAAGAACACAGAGCAGACUGGCUGGAACACUUCCUGGUAUCAGUGCGCUCAUACUUACCUCGUUAUGAAGAUCCCAGCAGCCAACAAG